rnacentral:rRNA from 1 species
ACGGGGGGAGCAAGCGUUGUUCGGAUUUACUGGGCGUAAAGGGCGCGUAGGCGGCCACGACAAGUCACUUGUGAAAUCUCCGGGCUUAACUCGGAACGGUCAAGUGAUACUGUCGGGCUAGAGUGCAGAAGGGGCAACUGGAAUUCUCGGUGUAGCGGUGAAAUGCGUAGAUACCGAGAGGAACACCUGCGGCGAAGGCGGGUUGCUGGGCUGACACUGACGCUGAUGCGCGAAAGCCAGGGGAGCGAACAGGA